rnacentral:rRNA from 1 species
UGGGGAAUUUUGGACAAUGGGCGAAAGCCUGAUCCAGCAAUGCCGCGUGUGUGAAGAAGGCCUUCGGGUUGUAAAGCACUUUUGUCCGGAAAGAAAUCCUUGGCUCUAAUACAGUCGGGGGAUGACGGUACCGGAAGAAUAAGCACCGGCUAACUACGUGCCAGCAGCCGCGGUAAUACGUAGGGUGCAAGCGUUAAUCGGAAUUACUGGGCGUAAAGCGUGCGCAGGCGGUUUGCUAAGACCGAUGUGAAAUCCCCGGGCUCAACCUGGGAACUGCAUUGGUGACUGGCAGGCUAGAGUAUGGCAGAGGGGGGUAGAAUUCCACGUGUAGCAGUGAAAUGCGUAGAGAUGUGGAGGAAUACCGAUGGCGAAGGCAGCCCCCUGGGCCAAUACUGACGCUCAUGCACGAAAGCGUGGGGAGCAAACAGGAUUAGAUACCCUGGUAGUCCACGCCCUAAAACGAUGUCAACUAGUUGUUGGGGAUUCAUUUCCUUAGUAACGUAGCUAACGCGUGAAGUUGACCGCCUGGGGGAGUACGGUCGC